UUCCAACUGACGAGUCCUAAACAGGACGAAACGGGUGUCCAGGAU
rnacentral:hammerhead_ribozyme from 1 species